rnacentral:rRNA from 1 species
UACGAGGGGGGCAAGCGUUGUUCGGAAUUAUUGGGCGUAAAGGGCGCGUAGGCGGUUUGGCAAGUCUUAUGUGAAAUCUUCGGGCUCAACCCUGGAAUUGCACUCAAGACUGCUUUGCUUGAAUUCGGUAGAGGUUGGUGGAAUUCCCAGUGUAGAGGUGAAAUUCGUAGAGAUUGGGAAGAACACCCGUGGCGAAGGCGGCCAACUGGACCGACAUUGACACUGAGGCGCGAAAGCGUGGGGAUCAAACAGG